UACCUUUGUCCCGGAUCAGGUGUCAUGGAUGGAACAUGACAAGAAGGGAAUCCUGUGAGAACCAGGAACAGUACCCGCUGCUGUGAUUCGCCUCCGGGCGAUAAGUCAGAAGACCGACCCGAUCCCCUUUUCUCGG
rnacentral:ncRNA from 2 species